UCUUAAAGAUAAGCAAAGAAAGUGGUUUAUUGAGAUGGAAUCUUCUCCUGGUGAAGAUGCUAUGAA
rnacentral:pre_miRNA from 1 species